CACGUAGGGCGCAAGCGUUGUCCGGAAUUAUUGGGCGUAAAGAGCUCGUAGGCGGUCUGUUGCGUCCGCUGUGAAAACUCGGGGCUUAACCCCGAGCCUGCAGUGGAUGACGGGCAGGACUAGAGGUAGGUAGGGGAGGAAGUGGAAUUCCGGUUCGUAGCGGUGAAAUGCGCAGAUAUCGGGAGGAACACCGGUGGCGAAGGCGGUUCUCUGGGCCUUACCUGACGCUGAGGUGCGAAAGCGUGGGGAGCAAACAGG
rnacentral:rRNA from 1 species